GAUCCUGGCUCAGGAUGAACGCUGGCGGCGUGCUUAACACAUGCAAGUCGAGCGAAGCACUUUGCUUUGAUUUCUUCGGGAUGAAGAGCUUAGUGACUGAGCGGCGGACGGGUGAGUAACGCGUGGGUAACCUGCCUCAUACAGGGGGAUAACAGUUAGAAAUGACUGCUAAUACCGCAUAAGACCACAGCACCGCAUGGUGCGGGGGUAAAAACUCCGGUGGUAUGAGAUGGACCCG
rnacentral:rRNA from 1 species